GACGAACGCUGGCGGCGUGCUUAACACAUGCAAGUCGAACGAAGUGGCGAACGGGUGAGUAACGCGUAAUCAACCUGCCCUUCAGAGGGGGACAACAGUUGGACACGACUGCUAAUACCGCAUACUGAAGGAGGGUAUUGCGUCUGAUUAGCUAGUUGGAGGGGUAACGGCCCAACAAGGCGAUGAUCAGUAGCCGGUCUGGUAGGAUGAACGGCCACAUUGGGACUGGGACACGGCCCAGACUCCUACGGGGGGCAGCAGUGGGGAAUCUUCCGCAAUGGACGAAAGUCUGACGGAGCAACGCCGCGUGAGUGAUGACGGCCUUCGGGUUGUAAAGCUCUGUUAAUCGGGACGCGGUACCGGAAUAGAAAGCCACGGCUAACUACGUGCCAGCAGCCGCGGUAAUUC
rnacentral:rRNA from 1 species